rnacentral:rRNA from 1 species
UGGAUCCAGACUUUGAUCAUGGCUCAGGAUGAACGCUAGCUACAGGCUUAACACAUGCAAGUCGAGGGGAAACGACAUCGAAAGCUUGCUUUUGAUGGGCGUCGACCGGCGCACGGGUGAGUAACGCGUAUCCAACCUGCCCACCACUUGGGGAUAACCUUGCGAAAGUAAGACUAAUACCCAAUGAUAUCUCUAGAAGACAUCUGAAAGAGAUUAAAGAUUUAUCGGUGAUGGAUGGGGAUGCGUCUGAUUAGCUUGUUGGCGGGGUAACGGCCCACCAAGGCUACGAUCAGUAGGGGUUCUGAGAGGAAGGUCCCCCACAUUGGAACUGAGACACGGUCCAAACUCCUACGGGAGGCAGCAGUGAGGAAUAUUGGUCAAUGGACGAGAGUCUGAACCAGCCAAGUAGCGUGCAGGAUGACGGCCCUAUGGGUUGUAAACUGCUUUUAUGAGGGAAUAAAGUGAGUCUCGUGAGACUUUUUGCAUGUACCUUAUGAAUAAGGACCGGCUAAUUCCGUGCCAGCAGCCGCGGUAAUACGGAAGGUCCGGGCGUUAUCCGGAUUUAUUGGGUUUAAAGGGAGCGUAGGCCGGAGAUUAAGCGUGUUGUGAGAUGUAGAUGCUCAACAUCUGCACUGCAGCGCGAACUGGUUUCCUUGAGUACGCACAAAGUGGGCGGAAUUCGUGGUGUAGCGGUGAAAUGCUUAGAUAUCACGAAGAACUCCGAUUGCGAAGGCAGCUCACUGGAGCGCAACUGACGCUGAAGCUCGAAAGUGCGGGUAUCGAACAGGAUUAGAUACCCUGGUAGUCCGCACGGUAAACGAUGGAUGCCCGCUGUUGGUCUGAAUAGGUCAGCGGCCAAGCGAAAGCAUUAAGCAUCCCACCUGGGGAGUACGCCGGCAACGGUGCAACUCAAAGGAAUUGACGGA